CAUCCCUCAGUCUCCAUCACACAGUUAUCAGCUACUUGCCUGGGGUUAGAUCUUCAUUACUGUUUGAACUGCUGCUCCUGGCCGGGGGCUCCUGGGACGCCAAGCUGCCUUCGUGCCUCUCUGCAUCUCCCUCGGCCUCUGGCUCAGCCGCCCUGCCACUAGGAACCAGAUGGGAGCCUGGGCACAGGCUGCGAGCCAGGAAAGGACCCUUCCUAGCAGUAACGGGAAGCCCUAAUCCCCACCACACAGACAAGCUGAGAAAAACAGAUGACAGCCAGAGUGAGCGUUUUUGUCAAACUCAAGCUGGAUUCUGUCAUAACUCAACAGUCCUUUUCAGCUCUGCCGCCAGACCAGACGGCUCCGGCUCUGAGUCCCUGGCAGCCAGCAGCAGCUGGAAACCAAGAAGGAGGCUGGAAGCUGGUGGGCCAUGCAGAGUAUUCCUGAAGCAGCAUGACUAAGGACCCUUGAGCAUCGCAGGCUCCUACAUCGUUGGUUCUUAACUGGAGGACCCGCAGGAGGCGAAGGAGAUCGGUUUCCACUCAGAGGAGCACAGAGAAGCUGGGACUAUGGCUGCAAAGCCCCCUAAGAAGUCCUCCAUCCCAGGAGUGAGCAUCAGGCAGCUGGUGGACGAGAUCCCAGAAGGCUGCAGCACACCAGAUUUCAAGCAGAAGCCUGUUACCUUGGCUCUACCAGAGGGGAAAAACGCCAUCUUUCGGGCGGUGGUCUGUGGGGAACCCAGACCUGAAGUGCACUGGCAGAGCAGCAAAGGAGACCUCAGCAACUCCGCCAAGUACCAGAUAUCCUCUGCUCCCGGUAGAGAGGAGCACGUGCUUCAGAUCAACAAGCUGACUGGAGAGGAUUCGGAUCUGUACCGCUGCACUGCACUAAAUGCCUAUGGAGAAGCCACAUGCUCAGUGAGGCUUACGGUCAUUGAAGUGGGUUUUCGGAAGAACCGAAAAAGGCAAAAGGAACCUCAGGAGGACCUCAGGAAGGAGCUGAUGGACUUUCGGAAGAUGCUGAAAAAACGGGCCCCACCCCCAACCCCUGAAAAAAAGAUGGAGUCUGAGCAGGUGUGGCAGCUUUUGGUGACUGCAGACCGUAAGGACUACGAGAAGAUCUGUAUGCAGUAUGGUAUCGUCGACUUCCGGGGCAUGCUGCGCAAGUUGCAGGAGAUGAAAAAGGAACAGGAGGACAGAAUGGCCCAGUAUGUCAGUGCCAUUGCCAACUUGAGACACAUCAAGGUCACCAAGGAAGGGGUCGCUACGUUUGACCUGGAGCUGGAUCUCAAGAACCUCGAGAGCAAGAUUUACUUGUACAAGGAUGGUGAGAUGAUUCCCUACGGUGUUGAUAACCAGACCAAGCACUGUCUGAGACGGCUGGGGAAGCGCUACCACUUCCAGAUCCAGGACCUGCGGCCUGAGGAUGCUGGCCUUUACCAGGUCAUGGUGGAGGAUGCUGUGGUCUUCUCUACAGAGCUAGAAUCCAGAACCAUCCCCCCCAGAGUGGUGGUCCCAUUGGCAGAGACCCGCUGUGAGGAACGGGGUGAUGCAGUCUUUGAAUGUACCCUCUCCAAUCCCUGUCCCAGUGCGACCUGGCAUUUCCAGCACCGACCACUGCGGCUCAGUGACAAAUAUGAAGUAUUUGUGUCCCCUGAUGGGCUAACCCACCGACUGGUUGUGAAGGGGGCCAGUAGCUCAGACAUGGGCCUCUACUCGCUGAACACUGGGCUCCAUGCCUCCAGUGCCUGGCUGGUGGUUGAAGGUGGGAAGGAUAAAGGCCCUCAGACCACAGAUACUGACCACCGGCUGCAGACUCCAGAAGCUCUGGCCUCCGAAGCAGAAGACGCUGGAGGCAUCAGCAUCAAGGGAGGGCAAUCCAGAGAGCGGGGUUCCCUCAAAGAGAUUAGUGGGGCACAGCUCACAGCAGGCCCAGACAGGGGUGCCUUUGGCAAACAUGGCUAUCCCUUGGUGGUGGAUGAAGACAUAGUUAAUUCUACUUGGGGACCUGGGCAGGACAAAAAGAGCUUUCUGGAAGGAGGACAACUCAGGGUCACUCUUCCAGGGGAUAGUCAGUCCCAAAGAGAGGGAGACUGUGGUAGAAGCCUCCCCAGAAGGUCUCAUCUCCAGGGAGAGGAUACAGAAUCAGAUUUGGGCUUCCUGGAGAGAGGACAACAAGGGCCUGGUAGAGUUGACAGUGAGAAUGGCAGAUGGGAGACAGCAGGAGGCCAGAGUGCUGGCUCCAGCCAUCCUCGGGACAGAAGGCUUGAGAGCAGAGGAGAAGGACAGGAACACAGUGAGGGCCAUGGCAGUGAACUGGACAGAUAUGGCCAGGGACAAUGCCAUGAUCCUCAGCUGGGAGCAGGGGCAGGGCAGAGGGUGCCGUGGGGAUCCCAGUUUGAUGCUGAGGGGCUUCAGCUGAAAAAGGAGGGGACAGAAAUGUGGGGCGAUUGUCUGGAUGUGACGGAAGGUAGGGGUAACCUGAGAAAGGAGAGGGGAACAGCAGCAGGGUCAAGUAACAGAGCCCGCCUCUGGGAAGCUCGAGGAGGCAGUGGGGCCGGAAGUCCUUGCGUCCCUGAGUUUCCUAGAGGAGGAGCUCACAGCUCCAAGGCAGGCAUGGGCCCUGAGUGCUGGCCAGGUGGAGAUGCUGGCCAUGGAGAAGCUGGGGUAUACUGGGGGGCAGGGGGAUAUCCAGGACAGACAUCUGAGGGCAAUGACACCCAGAAAUCAUCACUAUCUGGAGACAGGAAACUUCUGGGGUGCACGAGUCCUGAGGCCAAAGCUGAGGGCUCUUUCCAGAGCGCAGAUGGUCAUGGGAUUGUGGGGAGGGUCUACAAACCUGGCCCUGAAGGCCCAGAAGAUCUUAGGAGUCAGAAAAGUGGCCUACAAGAGAUUCAGGGAAGGAAUGGUCAAGGCUCAGCUGGAGCCUUGGGCAGGACGGUGGAAGGUUCCAGAAGCCUCCAAUUUCCUCAGAGCUGGACAGUGGGACAGAGGGAAGCAGGGAAGCCAGGUGGAGCAGAGUAUGAAGACAUAGGUCCUCAGGAUGACACGUGGUCCAAUCUCAGAGAGAUGGGAGGCCACUGUGGGUCUGGAGUGCUGGCGUCUGGUGGGAGGGAAGGGAGCGUGGGCGGUUCCCAAGUAGCUGCCCUGAUGAUGUCUAGUCAGAGGGUAGAUGCCAGAAACCACAGGCUAGUUACAUCCCCAGGCCUGGGUGUCCAGGGUUCUGGCAGAACACUGGGACACAUGGAAGGAUUAAGAGACCCAGAGGCAGUGGGAUCCGAAGAAGAGUUCUGGAAUGGGUCAGGAAGGUCCCAAGGAAAAGGGUCCAGAGGUGGGAUGGGCUUAGGAGGUCCAGAGUGGGCAGAGUCUAGGAAUGAGGAGGGAUGGGAGAAUUCUGAAGGGAUGGCUUCUAGGAAUGGAGCCACUUGUCGUGAUGGAUCCAGGAUGCAGGAAGGAACAGGAUCUGGCCCUGAUAUUGGUUGCAAGGCCCCCUGUGGGGCACCUGCGGAGACAGAGUCUGGGAAGUGGGGUACUUACAGUCAUGACUCAGGGGUGCCUGGGGGAUUGUGGUCUGGAAGCAAAAGUCAGUGUAGUCCUGCAGGAAAGGUAUCUGGAAGAGAGGCCAGCCUCAGAAAUGGCUCAGCUGGCCUUCAUGGAAUGCCUUCUAGUGAAGCUCAGCAGAGGGAUGUAUUUCAAGGCCACGGUCAGACAGGCCACAUUGGAGAGCACCACUGUGCCCGUGGCUUAGGGAGUUCUGAGACAGUGGGAUCUGUGGGUGGACAUGGUAGGAAAGACUCUGGAACAGCGGGCAAGGUUGGAGAGGGAUACACAGAAGCAGAACCAGGGCACUCUGGAGGGUUGAGUUCUUGGGGUCACACUGGAGAUUAUGAGGACUUCCGAGUCCUGGGGGCCUUUAGGGAAGGAGACUUUGGCAAUGGCACUGGGGUUCCAUUAUCCAUGGGACCAAGGUCUCUGGAGAGAGGGGACAAGGAAGGAGAUGGAGAAAGGAUCAGUUUUCUUGGUGCCAGGACCUCUACAGUUGGAACUGGGAAUUGGGACAAAGCCAGGCACCCUGGGGCACCAUCUCCUCAUGAGGCCGGUUCAGAGGGCCACUGGGCUCAAGUGUCUGGCAAUGCAUUAGGUUGUAGAGAUGGGUCUGGAAUUCCAGAGCCUUGGAGUGCUGGCGACAAAACAGCUUAUGGAGAAGAAUCAAAGGGUCUUGGGCCUGAAAGAACAGGACCAGAUGGUGAGGUGGCAUUUAGAGGUAGCUCUUCGAGCCUCAGAGGAAUGGGACCAGCAAGUGAGGCAAGUUAUAAAAGUGGAACUUGGGGCCCUGGGGCUGUGGGUUCAGGGUUUAAGGUAGAUUGUAGGAAUGAUCUUGGGUGUUCUGGAAGUAUGGGGUCAGAGAGUAAAGCAGGUUAUAAGAACAAAAUUGAGAGUCAUGGGGUCAGGGAGUUAGGGGACCUGACAGGCUAUAAAAAUGAUUUAGGACCUUCUGAACUUAUUUCAUCAAGGAAUGAGGCACGUGGUUUAGAACAUUCUGGAGACAUUUUGUCAUGGAAUAAGGCAGGUUUAAGGGAUGGCUUGGGAGAAACAGGAAGAAUGGAGUCCAAGAAUGGGGUUGGUUAUAGGGGAAGCUCAGUGGGUCCUGGGGAAAUGGGGUCAGAGAGGAAAAUGCACCUUGCAGAUGGUUCAGGGAGGCUAGGAGGACCAGGGUCACUGGCUGCGCCCAAAGAACAUGAAUCUGUGGGUCUUGGGUCAGUUUAUGAGGGAGCAGCAGAGAUUGGCUCCAAAUAUAAUAGGGAGAAAGUCAGAGGAAUGGGGUUUAGAGAUGCAACAGGGCCUGAGGUGGGCUCUGGGGUAGCUGGAAUGCUGGAUAUUACAGGUGGCAUAGCACACGGGGACAGUGCUAUGGGCACAGAGAAGCUGGGGACACCAGAUAGGCCUUAUAUCUUGUCAGGUGGGCAGGGUACCAAGAACAGUCUUGGGGGCUGUGUGUCCUUGGGAAUCCCUGACGCCUUGGGGGCUGUUGGCUCUGUGGGGAAACCAGGUAUCAGAGAAUGGAAAGAUGAUUCUGGGUUCCAAGGGUCUCUCAGGGACAGAGGGACUCCGAGUGAGGAGAUCAGAUCUGUAGACCAAGCAGGAGCUAUAGGGACAUCUCGGCUUCUUGAUAGUAGGGGGGCAGUGGAGGAUGGGAGUGGGUCAGAAAAUGACUUUGACUUUAAUAAAUCAGGCUUGGAGACAACAGGAAGAUGUAGAGUUGCUGACCAGCAGGGAGUGACACCACAGGGAUGUGGAGGCUCAUUGCUCAAUGGCAGGAGGAAGGGAACAAGUUCUGGAAGCUUGUCAGGGGUAGGGCAGGAGGUAGACAGAAGUUCUACACCUGGGAGGGAGACCAAGGUAAUGUCAGGACCUGGCAGUGGGCGAGCCACAAGCCACACUCGGGCUGCAGACUGGGAAGACGGGGUUCAAUGCAGCUUCGGGGCUUCUAGCUCACUGCCUGAUACUGAUGCCAUUUUCAGAGAAACCCAUGCGGGACAAGGAGCCUUCAAGGGCAGGGGCUGUGAAACCGGCCAAGGGGCUGCUGGAGAGUGUCAAGGACCACGCUCCUUGGGGAGCAGAGGCUCAGAGUUUGUAGGGGGCAGGGCUGGAUUUACAGGGAGCUCAAGUGUUCCAGGCAGAAGGGAUUCCACUAUCUACGGAGAUGCUGUCACAUCAAAGCCACAGGAACCCCAGAAUGAAUUAUAUAGUCCUUUAGGCAGAAGGGACUUCAAAAGUGUAUCGGGAGGAAUCCAGGAGCCAGGUUUUCAACGAGGAACAGGACAGGGAGAAGGAAAAGAAUCCUUCCAGGAGUCAGGGUCCUGGGAGGCUGAGCUUGACGAGGUCCAAGGAUCCAGGGCCUCAGCAAAGUUUGAAAACCAGGGAGGGAAAGACCCUGGCUGGUCAGGCCAGAAGCCUGGUCCCUGUGGAAGCAGGCAUCAGGUGCAGUCUGGGACUGAAGUUGGAUCAGCAAAGAGAGCAACCCCACAGGGGGCCGGAGGGCUGGAGCCUUGGGCUGGCAGUGAGGAUAGAGGGUCUCUGAGAGAACCUUGGAGUGAAGACAGGAGGCAAGGCCCCCACAGGCACCUUGGCAGCAGGAGAGAUACCCAAGAGGGCAGGUCAGAUGUCUGUGGCCAGGCACAAGAUGCUACCCAGAGCCCCAGAUCCAGAUACCAGCCUGGCACUGGCCGCUCUUCUUCAGAGGCCCGAGGUAGGUACUCCCAGCUGGUGGCUCUUAUAGGGUGGAGCCAGAGGGUAGAGUCCUUGGACACAGGGGUGCCUACUUGCCAGUUCUACCUUCGGCACAGGAACUCAUCACUACCGGUGUCUCUAUUUCCCAGAAUCCCUUGCAAAUUCAAGGAGCCUCCGCUCCUGCUCCUUUCCUCUCCCCGUGCAGAAGGGAUCCAAGCUAUGUGAAACUCAAAGGUCUGCUUGGUGUUAACUCUUGAAACUCCAUGUCCAAGGUCCCAGAGUAUUAGCUUGCCUCUGUGACUCCAAAUGCCUCUCUGUGGGACUCGGGGGGUAUAUGUGGGGGGUUCUUUAUAUCUCCCUUACACCCUGAUCUCUGUGCCAGCCUAGGGAAAUGAGAAGCCGGGCAUUGCGUCUUACUGAGCCCUGUGGGCAGGACCAUAGAGGCUCCCCAGAAUUCAACACAGGCCAAAGCUGGGCUGUGGGGACUUCCUUUGUAUCUCUCUAGGCUCCAUGGACCACUUCUCUCAGGGUCUGACUGAUACAGAGGUGCAACUGGGGGAAGCCGCCAUAGUCUCCUGUACUCUUGCCAGUGACCUGGGACCUGGCACGUGGUUCAAGGAUGGAGUCAAGCUCACUGCCCAAGAUGGAGUCAUCUUUGAGCAAGAUGGGCUCACGCACAGACUGAUUCUCACCCACGUGGAGGGGACCCAGGCUGGGAAAUACACUUUUGUAGCCGGCUGCCAGCACAGCGAGGCCAGCCUGACCGUGCAGGAUCCCCCCACCAUUGCUCCAGAUGUGACAGAGACACUGAGAGAGCCACUGGUGUUCAAGGCUGGGAAGCCAGUCACCGUGAAAAUCCCUUUCCAGAGCCGCCUCCCUGUUCAGGCUGCCUGGAGGAAAGAUGGGAACGAGGUGGUGGGCGGCGACCACAAGGGCAUCCAACUGGCUCUGGCAGAUGGCUACACAUGGCUGUGCCUCCCCAGCGUGUGCAGGAAGGACAGUGGCCGGUACAGCGUGACGCUGAGGAGCGAGGGAGGCUGUGUGCAGGCUGAGUUCACCCUGCAAGUUAUAGGUGCUGACCCUGCCUGUUCUCCAGCCAGGGCCCCAGGGUUCUGGGGUCCCAGGACCUCCCUGGGAGCCUGGACCGGUCUGGGGAUGGACUCUGCUAGCCUUGGUCUUUAUUUGCAUGAGAGUUAAGAUCCUAAGCCACCCCUACUGACCCAUUUUCCCUGUCCCCAGACUGCCUAGGAAGAAGAGAUAGGCCAAGACCAGGUACAGGCUGGUGGACCCUGUUGUGUGAGCUCUAACACAACAGUCUGGGGGGAAGAUUAGUGGAAUGGUGGCCCCUAGUCUGUACCAGCAAGGUCAGAUUGCCUGUACAAGAGGACUAAGCAGAAGGUCAUGCUGGCUACUGAAUAGGGCUAGGUACAGGCUGGAGGUCCCAUUCCAUCUCCUAAGGCAGGACUGGGGAAGUAGAGACCAGAGACACCAAGAGACAUUUGGAACCUACCCAGGAGCUCCGCCUUGCCUCAGCCUCUGGCUGUGUCAGGAACCAUGUGUAUCUCUGGGCUGUCCAUCCCUUUACAGACUUAUCCGAUGAUGAGGGGGUUAAGUAACAUGCCCCCUCCCAGCUUCUCUGACUCCUCUCUCCUCCUGUUUCUCUCCACGGGUCCUCAGACAAGCCUCAGCCCCCACAAGGACCCCUGGAGGUUCAGGAUUGCCACAGAGCAGGUGUCUGCCUCCGCUGGCUACCCCCGAGGGACAACGGGGGCCAGGUCAUACAACACUAUGUGGUGGAGAGGCGACAGGCUGGAAGGAGCACUUGGUUGAAGGUGGGCGAGCCCCCAUCAGACAGUACCAGCUUCACCGACACCAGCGUGGAGCAGGGAAAGAAAUAUGCCUUCCGUGUGCGGGCUGUGACCUCAGUGGGAGCCGGAGAUGCCCUGGAGUCAGAGGAGGUGUUGGUGGCUCCUGAGGCUCUCCCGGGGCCCCCUUCUGCCCCAGCCAUCCUGUCAGCCUCCAGUCAGAGCAUCACUCUCACAUGGGGGGCACCACAGGGCCCUGGCAGUAACCACAUCCUGGGCUACCUGAUCGAGAAGCACAAGAAGGGGAGCAACACCUGGAUGGCUGUGAAUGAGCAGCCCGUGUCUGAAGGUACACUGUGGUGGGUCUGCGACAGGGCUGCCAGUAUGAGUUCCGGGUCACGGCCGUGACUCUGUCGGGCCCUGGAGAUCCUGGGCCUCCAUCGGAUGCUGUCUUUGCUAGAGACCCUAUGAGACCCCCAGGGCCUGUGCGGGAUCUACAGGUUACAGACACAUCAAACACUAGCAUCACCGUGAGCUGGAUGGUGCCGGAUGCCCGGGAUGCUGAUGAAGCCCAGGGAUAUAUUGUGGAGUUGUGUGGUUCAGACAGCCAUCAAUGGAGCCCAUGUCACGUGGGAACUGUGCCGGGCACCACCUUCACAGCCAAGGGGCUUCGGCCGCAAGAAGGCUACUUUGUGCGGGUGACAGCAGUUAAUGAUGGGGGCCGGAGCCAGGCCACUUCCCUGGACACAUUGGUUCAUGCCAUGCCGGCCACUGUCUGUCCCAGGUUCCUCAUGGACUCCGGCACAAAGGAUACCCUGAUGGUCAGGGUUGGGGACAGUAUUCGCGUUCCUCUCUCCUUUGAAGCUGCCCCCAUGCCUGAGGUGACCUGGCUGAAGGACGGCUUGCCCUUGCCCAAAAGAAGUGUGACCACUGUGAAGGCUGGCCUCACGCAGCUUCUGAUCCCUGCAGCUAGCCUCUCGGACUGUGGCCGAUACACCGUGAUGCUGAGGAACCUACAGGGGAAGGAAGCUACCCACAGCUUCUUCAUCAAUGUAGCAGCAUGCCCACAGGCACCAGGUUCUAUCUACCUACAGGAGAAUGUGCCUGGGACAGUGACGGUCCAGUGGGAACCCUCUCCGGAUGAGGCUCAGGGCAUCCCCUUGCAUUACACAGUGCUGAUGCGGUCCUCAUCUCACCGAUCCUGGCACGAGGUGGCCGACCAUGUCCGUACCAACCGCUUUACCCUCCUAGGGGUCCUCCCUGGCCAUGAGUACCACUUUCGGGUGCUGGCCAAGAAUGAGCUGGGGGUCAGCAAACCUUCAGACACCAGCCAACCCUGGUGUAUCCCCAGGCAGAGAGACAGGUUCACAGUGAAGUCUCCGACAUACCAGGAUCCUGACCUGAGCCAGAAGCCCCGCUUCCUGGUGGGUCUGCGGGCUCACCUUCUGCCCCAGGGCUGUGAGUGCCGCAUGACGUGUGCCGUGCAGGGCUCACCCCAGCCUCAUGUCACCUGGUUCAAGAAUGACCAAAGCUUGGACAGAAACCCUGCGGUGUACAGUACUGACUUGCUGGGUGUGUGCUCCCUCGUCAUCCCCAGCGUGUCCCUUAAGGACAGUGGUGAAUACAAGGCUGUGGCCAAGAACCCACUGGGACAAGCUGUCAGCACAGCCACCCUCAUUGUCACAGAAUACGACUCCUAGGCCACUUGAUCCAGAAUGCUGGCCUUGCCCCACCCUACAGCUAUGAGAUGGAUGGCAAAUCUCUGAAGCUUUGCUGCUGAUACCCACACUGGCCUGGGGUCCCAGCAGUCCAGCGUGACAGUGGAUGUUCCUGGGUGAGACAGGAACAAGGGGUCUUCUGGUGAGAUGCAUCCAGAAGGGCUGAAGUCCUUGAAGAAGAACUAGAAGAAGAGUGGAGGAUGUAGUCUUAAGCUGAAUGAUGGCUCAGAGUGACCCUGUUACUAAGGGUGUCUGUGUUCUGCACCUCUGAACGAAGCUCCAGAGAGGGUGGUGCAUGGGGUGGAAGCUGAGCCCACUGUGACCAGAGGAAUGGAAAUUCAGAGAGGGCAGAGGACCUGGGUGAGGGCAUCAAGGAUGGGGCUUGCGGGCUAUCUGUACUUCAUUAAAAGGACAGACUGUCAAAGGUGAAUUCUUUGCAGAGUAACUUGGGGCUGCUUGGUUGAAGGAAGCCAAACCUCGGAGUUGAGAAUGUCUAGGCUCACGGGAGUGAUUCAGGACUGUGUUCAUCGGCAGCAGGGCAGAAAAGCCAGGGUAGGGGACACAGUCUGUAAGGCGGAGGCUCCCUUCUCUUGGCUCCUGCUUUCUGCAUGCCCUGCAAAAACCCUGGGACGAGCAUGACUUAAGCCUCCCUAAACAUUGUGUGCAUAGAGACUGUGAGCCAGUUGUUCCUCCCUGGAGGCAGCAGCAUUCUGAACUGGGGAGAGUUCCACUGCAAUCUGUUCUGGGGGCUCCUGUCAGCAGAGCCAGGAGACUAUCAAGCACAUAAAGAUUUGAUUCUCA